GAUGAAGAACGUAGCGAAAUGCGAUACGUAAUGUGAAUUGCAGAAUUCAGUGAAUCAUCGAGUCUUUGAACGCACAUUGCGCCCCCUGGUAUUCCGGGGGGCAUGCCUGUCCGAGCGUCAUUGCUGCCCUCAAGCACGGCUUGUGUGUUGGGCCUCCGUCCUCCUCCCGGGGGACGGGCCCGAAAGGCAGCGGCGGCACCGCGUCCGGUCCUCGAGCGUAUGGGGCUUCGUCACCCGCUCUUGUAGGCCCGGCCGGCGCUUGCCGACACAUCAAUCUUUUUUCUAGGUUGACCUCGGAUCAGGUAGGGAUACCCGCUGAACUUAAGCAUAUCAAUAAGCGGAGGA
rnacentral:misc_RNA from 1 species